GGACUCGCCAGGAUUUUAAACAGGGUCCAAUCUAAUAAAAUAGUAUGGCUAGACCGAAUGCAUGCUUAACCCCUUUUCUGUCUCUUGCUUUCAUUUGCAGUCCACAAGAGUGAAGCAUCAUUUAAUCAUAAAUGGUUUCAAUAUAGGCCAGUUUUACACCUCUCCAAUUUUUUUAUUACUUUUAUUAGUUCCAGAAGUUGGGAACACUGGGAACUUCUUUUUGACCAUGAUAUAAAAUAAAAAGGAAGUGAUUUCAGUCUUCUUUUCCAACUUGUUUGCAGCCUUAGAGAUUCAACUAAAGCAGUAUUAUGAGGAGUAGAAAGGGAGGAAGUGACUGGCUAUUCCAUAACUGCUCCUGAUAGUUUACAGAAAUAUAAAGCAGUGAGUUACUGCCAUUGUGAAACCCAAAUCAGAUCUUAGAGAGACAUCCUCCUGCCUUGCGUCUGUCACCCCUGGAAACUGAAGCCGAAGCUGAUUUUCCAUCUUAAUCAAUGUUAUCUCUGCUUGAACUUCUAUUGUCAUUCAUCCUUACCCCAAGUAUUUACUCUUCCCUCCAUUUGUUGACUGACCCCACCCUGUGUGUAUCCAAUGGAAAAUCUGAAAGUGGCUCCCACAUGUUUACAAAUGGAUGCAGAAGAAGCUUUUCUAUGGGAUGAUCAAUCAUGUUCUGCUUUAUUCUGUGGAAAGUGAAUCAUAUAUUUUCCAGGACCGACAAAAGUUACAUUAAUAUUAUUCUUCCUGGGAUCCACAAACUGUCUUAAACGUAUUAAAAUACUUCCCUGAAAGGUCGUAUAAAAUGAGUAGUUGAUGGUUUAUAAAUUGCAAAAUUUGCAUCUGUGUGAAAUAAGCAUGCAAAUAAAAGUGAGGGACAUUUACCUCUUUAAAUUUGCAGAGCUUUAUUCACUCAAGAUGUAAUGAGUCCCUCUUACAUUUUGUGUAACCAAUAGGCAGUCAUAUAACCUAUUAUUUUGAAAAAUGUCCAGAUUGUGUGUCGAGGUCCCCAAGACACCCCCUAAAUAAAACACAAUUGACACAUAAUUUUAGUUUAAGGUUUUUGGCAUAAUUUUGGCCACAACUUUAUUAAAAUUACAAGCAAUGUGAGUGGUUGCUUAGGCAUUGGUUGUGACUAUCUGACCCCGCAUGGGGACAGACUGACAUUUCAUAGAAUCAUAGAAUCAUAGAGUUGGAAGAGACCACAAGGGCCAUCGAGUCCAACCCCCUGCCAAGCAGGAAACACCAUCAGAGCACCCCUGACAUAUGGUUGUCAAGCCUCUGCUUAAAGACCUCCAAAGAAGGAGACUCCACCACACUCCUUGGCAGCAAAUAUCACUGUCGAACAGCUCUUACUGUCAGGAAGUUCUUCCUAAUGUUUAGGUGGAAUCUUCUUUCUUGUAGUUUGGAUCCAUUGCUCCGUGUCCGCUUCUCUGGAGCAGCAGCAAACAACCUUUCUCCCUCCUCUAUGUGACAUCCUUUUAUAUAUUUGAACAUGGCUAUCAUAUCACCCCUUAACCUCCUCUUCUCCAGGCUAAACAUGCCCAGCUCCCUUAGCCGUUCCUCAUAAGGCAUUGUUUCCAGGCCUUUGACCAUUUUGGUUGCCCUCCUCUGGACACGUUCCAGUUUGUCAGUGUCCUUCUUGAACUGUGGUGCCCAGAACUGGACACAGUUCCAGGUGAGGUCUGACCAGAGCAGAAUACAGUGGCAGUAUUACUUCCCUUGAUCUAGAUGCUAUACUCCUAUUGAUGCAGCCCAGAAUUGCAUUGGCUUUUUUAGCUGCCCGCCAGCGAAGUCAGAAAGGGAAAACAUUUUGGGGAGAGAGAUGGAGCUGGGUACCAUACCUCACCUCUCCCCAAAUUUUCCCAGGGGCUCUUGAGUGGUCCUAGUCCCUUGACAGGCGUUUGGACAAAAGCAUGGCGAGCCCCUGGAUUCCUUUAACGGAAUACCCUUGCAGCAGCAGCAUUUGGAGGGGCAGGCACAGCCAAUCUAUUCCCCUCCACCAACCAAUUAAAACCAAUGCCUAACCACAACCUUACAAGUUGUGAUGAUUUGCUACACAGUAGGCAAAAACCAAAUGGCACCAGCCAAUCAGCCAAAUGGACAAAAUUCCUACCGGGCCCCUGCCCCAAAGCAGGCGACCCCAUGACAGGCAUAGCAGGGUCAAGCGAACAACCCUGAAAAUAGGGAGGGUGAUCCGAUGCGUGCAGCGAAAAGAGGAAGCUCAAUGCUGCGCGUAGGGUAUUUAAAGGCUAUGGCUGUCAAUCACAAAAUGGCAACAUAAAAUUCUCCUCAGCAACAAGAAAAGCUCAGUGAUAAUGGUGGCAAAUCUCUUUCCUGCCCAGCAACAGUGUGUGUCUUGAUAGCCCCCACCGCAACACAUGCUGUUCAUGAAGGAGAACACGCUUUAUGAAAUAACGGACUGUCUGGAAUUAGUAGUCCACAAUGGCUAGCUGUUAACAGAGGGUGACUCUUUCCUACCUUCACACUAUGACCCCUUUAUUUUUUUGAUAGGCACAAGGAAUAAAGAAAUGAAUGCAGCAAAUAACAUGGAAGGUAGCAGGGAAUAUUUUUUUUAAUAGUGGGAAAUAAACAAUGCAAAACAAUGGAACAAUAUAAACACCUAAGGCCUUGAAGAAUACUUAACCCUCUGAGGAAACUGCAUUCACUUGAGAAUUUUCUGGUUCUACGUGUAACCUGUGAUCAGAUGAAGAGUGAGAGCAAAUGAAGUCAAGGAGAGUGAGACAAAAGCCUGGCUGCCAUUAGCCCAUGAAAUUCUUGGCAAGUGACCCUAGGCCACUUAAAAGAAGGGAAAUGAGAAGCAGCUGGGACUAUGAAAAUAAAAAAGGCAUUGAUCAGUUUGGAAACAAUGUGAACAAAUAUGCAGUGAGCAUCAAAAUGAGAUUUUCAAAAGCACUUGUGAAACUAGGGCAAGAAGCCACAGAAAUUGUCCCACUAGCCCCCAUAUCUUUAUUUCCCUGCCUGACUGGGAGAUCAGGCAGACUGCUUUCUUUCCCAAUUUCAGGAGAUCAAAACUUUCAUCCUGCUCUUUAGAGAUCCUCUCUACAGGUGGAGGGAUAUUUUAACAUUAAUCUUAGUGCUAAGUACCACAGUGGUGAGAUCAGAAAUAAUCCCUCUGCAUGCUUUUCAGCAGUAAAAUACAGCAUUUUCCUCUGACUCAAGUGCAGGUGGGUGUGGGUGAGAGGUCCUUGCUCUUGAAGAGCAAGCAGAGGGUUUAUCUCUCAGAGCAUUGGUGGUUAGCACCAAGAUCAGAGAGACAAUAUCCCUUUUGUACCUCUCAAGUGCUUCCCUGAAACACAAAACUGUUUCUCUGCAAUUUGGCAGGCUGUAUCUGCUCUGGAGACUUUCCUGUACCUGUAAAUUUUGUAAGCUGCUUUGAGGUUUGAUUACAAUCAAGCAAAAUGUAAGUCUUGAGAAAUAAAUUGCAAAAUAAUUUUUAUCCACUUUAGCCAAAAGGGGGGAAAGAUAUAGCCAUGUUUAGAUGACCACAGAGGUUUGCCUUAUAUAGAGCAACGUCAAACCUAAAUUACAGAAGUGAAGAAAACACAGAGAGAUGCAGAGAGAUACAGAAACAGGUCUUUUCUGCACAGAUGCAAUGUGAACCUUGGGGGCCAUGCACACCCCUAGUAUUUACGAGCAGACAACACUGUGCACAUCAUUUGUUAAUUCAUCAUAAUUAUCUGCUCCAAGAUUUUAUCAAGCAAAGCAGCACCUAAUUGAAACCUAUUUUUAUGGGUGGCUACUCUCAAGUGACUUAUUUUUUUGGGGGGAGGGGAGUAUGUUGGGCAUUUCCACAUUUCAGCAAUGACAUUUCACAUUAUGGUGUGUCCCAUCAGACUGUACACAUCAGUUAUGAUGCAUUUAACUCAUGUUCUUAUUAUCUCGGAUGCAGUCAAAUAUGACACAUCAAAACAUACAACAUUCAGGAUGAUAAAGAGAUACUUCCGGUAUUUUCUGUGUGCGCGCACACACACACACACACACACGUAAAACAGAACGGUAAUUUGCCAGUUCCACAAGAAAUGCGUGCAUAUCUUUCCUCCCUAAGAAAUUUUUCUUGCAUUUUGAAUAGAAGCGCAGAUCAGAGCUUUUUAAUGCAGUCUUUGGAGAAAAUUCUGUGCUUUGAACUCUGAUUUGCACUUUCAGGGAAAUGCCUCUGGCCAUUGAUGCUGAAGUCAUGUUCCGAAUACUGUGUGAAAUAGAUGUUGCCACAUCACCUCCCCUCCCCCCCCAUUCAAGUUCUGAGCUUUAUUACAAAACUUUGCAUCUCCCCUUUCCCCCUAUAAUCAACCCUGUUUUUUCCAGCAGUAUCACCACUAUUUUUUGCCAGAGUGGCCACCCUUUCAAGAAAUAGCAACAGUGAAUCUGCAUGUCAGCUGAACCUUACCUUAGUAAUAGCACAAAAAGUUAAUGCAUGGGUAAGAGUCUGUAAGGGAACCUUAUUGUUGCUGGGAGUUUGCAUCUUUUCAC